GCAUCAGUGGUUUAGUGGUAAAAUCCAUCGUUGCCAUCACACUACGAGUUCUCCUGGAACUCGGUGAAUCCUCGAUGGGCCCCGUGUUCGAUUCACGGCUGAUGCA